UACAGGGGCCCCAAGCGUUAAUCGGAAUUACUGGGCGUAAAGCGCACGUAGGCGGAUAUUUAAGUCAGGGGUGAAAUCCCAGAGCUCAACUCUGGAACUGCCUUUGAUACUGGGUAUCUCGAGUAUGGAAGAGGUGAGUGGAAUUCCGAGUGUAGAGGUGAAAUUCGUAGAUAUUCGGAGGAACACCAGUGGCGAAGGCGGCUCACUGGUCCAUUACUGACGCUGAGGUGCGAAAGCGUGGGGAGCAAACAGG
rnacentral:rRNA from 1 species